rnacentral:rRNA from 1 species
GACAAACGCUGGCGGCGUGCUUAACACAUGCAAGUCGAACGGAAAGGCCCUGCUUUUGUGGGGUGCUCGAGUGGCGAACGGGUGAGUAACACGUGAGUAACCUGCCCUUGACUUUGGGAUAACUUCAGGAAACUGGGGCUAAUACCGGAUAGGAGCUCCUGCUGCAUGGUGGGGGUUGGAAAGUUUCGGCGGUUGGGGAUGGACUCGCGGCUUAUCAGCUUGUUGGUGGGGUAGUGGCUUACCAAGGCUUUGACGGGUAGCCGGCCUGAGAGGGUGACCGGCCACAUUGGGACUGAGAUACGGCCCAGACUCCUACGGGAGGCAGCAGUGGGGAAUAUAGCACAAUGGGCGGAAGCCUGAUGCAGCAACGCCGCGUGCGGGAUGACGGCCUUCGGGUUGUAAACCGCUUUCGCCUGUGACGAAGCGUGAGUGACGGUAAUGGGUAAAGAAGCACCGGCUAACUACGUG